UACGUAGGGGGCAAGCGUUGUCCGGAAUCAUUGGGCGUAAAGCGCGUGUAGGCGGCUCGAUAAGUCUGCUGUGAAAGUCCAGGGCUCAACCCUGGGAUGCCGGUGGAUACUGUCGAGCUCGAGUCCGGAAGAGGAGUGUGGAAUUCCUGGUGUAGCGGUGAAAUGCGCAGAUAUCAGGAGGAACACCGAUAGCGAAGGCAGCACUCUGGUACGUGACUGACGCUGAGACGCGAAAGCGUGGGGAGCAAACAGG
rnacentral:rRNA from 2 species